UCCCUGGUGGACUAGUGGCUAGUAUGCAGCGCUCUUACCACGACAGCCUGGGUUUGAUUCCUGGUCAGGGAA